AAUGAAGCUUCCCGCUUUUACAUGCGUUCAGAGCUUGCUAAUACGUGUGUCAUUGUUGACACGUUGACCAAAAUGAACAGUGCCGAUUCAAUGAUUUCCGAUUUUCUCAAAUAUUUGGGGCCUCUAAACUGAUGCCACUCCUCUUCUUCGUCUGGUCAGAGGAACCAUUGAAGAACGUUUGUGCCUCGGUGACAAAUCAAAAGUGAUUUUGUCCGUCAAGGCACAACCCACAUUUGACCACUUCUUUAAUUUUUCAUUGUAAUUUCUAGGGUUUGAACGAUUUAGUUUGAUAUUUAUGUUCUACGGUUGUGUUUUUUGGUAAAAUAUUUGUUGUUUGAGUAUUGGGUUUCAGGUGUGGAAUAUUUAGGGUUUGAACUUUGAAGGAUUGUUGGAACGAUGGGGAUCAAUUAUUUGAUCUAUGGUUGCAAUCUUUUGUAGUUAUUUGUUUGUUGAAUGGAUUUGGGUUCAAACAUUGAACAUUUAGGGUUUGAAGGGUAGUUCGAACGAUGGGGUUCGAUUGUUUGGGUUGUCGAAUGGGUUUUAUGCUUGAAUGUUUAUAUUUAUCAGUUCCAAUGAUUGAUGGGUUUGAAUGGUUGGUCAACUGAGUUAUUUUUAAUGCUUAAUCGGUUUUACUGAUUUAUCAA